rnacentral:rRNA from 1 species
CCUACGUGAUGCUGCAGUGGGGAAUAUUGGACAAUGGGCGAAAGCCUGAUCCAGCCAUGCCGCGUGUGUGAAGAAGGCCUUCGGGUUGUAAAGCACUUUCAGUGGGGAAGAAAGCCUUGGGGCUAAUACCCUCGAGGAAGGACAUCACCCACAGAAGAAGCACCGGCUAACUCCGUGCCAGCAGCCGCGGUAAUACGGAGGGUGCGAGCGUUAAUCGGAAUUACUGAGCGUAAAGCGCGCGUAGGCGGUCUGAUAAGCCGGUUGUGAAAGCCCCGGGCUCAACCUGGGAACGGCAUCCGGAACUGUCAGGCUAGAGUGCAGGAGAGGAAGGUAGAAUUCCCGGUGUAGCGGUGAAAUGCGUAGAGAUCGGGAGGAAUACCAGUGGCGAAGGCGGCCUUCUGGACUGACACUGACGCUGAGGUGCGAAAGCGUGGGUAGCAAACAGGAUUAGAUACCCUUGUAGUC